GGGCCCGUAGCCUAGCCAGGAUAGGGCGCCGGCCUGCGGAGCCGGAGAUCCCGGGUUCAAAUCCCGGCGGGCCCA
rnacentral:tRNA from 1 species